rnacentral:rRNA from 1 species
UAAAUAGUCCGGCCGGCUUUUGCUGGUCGCUGACUUCUUAGAGGGACUAACAGCGUUUAGCUGUUGGAAGUUUGAGGCAACAACAGGUCUGUGAUGCCCUUAGAUGUUCUGGGCCG